ensembl:snRNA U6 U6 spliceosomal RNA
GUGGUCGCUUCAGCAGCACACAUAUCAAAAUUGGAACAAUAAAGAGAAGAUUAGCAUGGACCUUGCGCAAGGAUGACAUGCAAAUUCAUGAGGCAUUCCAUUUUUUG